AGCUAGGCUGUCCACUGUGUUAAAGGAUAGCAACAACAUGACUGAGUGCCAUGCUGGAUUUUUCAGUCUUAGUUUCUUUCUUGCUCUAAUUGUCUCUCUCUCCUCUCUCUUUUAAGAAUCACGUUCUGUGCCGUUCAUCUUACGCCAGUAAGAAGUUCCAAGUCAGUUUGAGAGAGUGUGAAUUCUAUCCCCCAAAGGACACUACUGCUCUUGGCCCUGGUGAGCAGGAGCGUGUAUGCAUGACCAGUCAGGCUGCAGGGCCUCCAGGGUUUCCCAGUCUCCCAGAUCUCCCUGCUCUUCCCGAUCCCCCUAGUGAUCCUUAUCCCCAUGGUGGCAUUCCUGUCCCUCCUGGAUUGGUACCUAGCAGGUCCAGGAGAAGCUUGGGCUUUAAUAGGCCCGCAUUGGAUUCCUACCACCCCCUAAGUCCCAACCAUCCCUGCCAUGGAUCCGACCAAUCUCUCCACCACAUUUGCCCCUGGCCUCUUCCUGACCAACAACAAACCCCAAGAAGCUAAGCCUGAGAAACACACGCUUAAUGAAUCACGAGUGACUGAUCCUAACCAGAAAACUUCUAGAUCAGUCUCUGAUGUAUGUGAGAAAUGCUUAAGUACUUACAGCAUAAUACAGAACACGUAAAAUAAACCAUCUAGGUGUCAAA